rnacentral:rRNA from 1 species
GACGUAGGGCGCGAGCGUUGUCCGGAUUUAUUGGGCGUAAAGAGCUCGUAGGCGGUUUGUCGCGUCGGGAGUGAAAACACCGGGCUUAACUCGGUGCUGGCUUUCGAUACGGGCAGACUAGAGGUAUGCAGGGGAGAACGGAAUUCCUGGUGUAGCGGUGAAAUGCGCAGAUAUCAGGAGGAACACCGGUGGCGAAGGCGGUUCUCUGGGCAUGUCCUGACGCUGAGGAGCGAAAGUGUGGGGAGCGAACAGG